UUGCACCCUUUGGACGUCGACCGGCGCACGGGUGAGUAACGCGUAUCCAACCUGCCCUUUACUUGGGGAUAACCCGUUGAAAGACGGACUAAUACCCAAUGAUAUUCAUUGAUGACAUCUGAUUUGAAUUAAAGAUUUAUCGGUAUAGGAUGGGGAUGCGUCUGAUUAGCUUGUUGGUGAGGUAACGGCUCACCAAGGCCACGAUCAGUAGGGGUUCUGAGAGGGAGGUCCCCCACAUUGGAACUGAGACACGGUCCAAACUCCUACGGGAGGCAGCAGUGAGGAAUAUUGGUCAAUGGACGAGAGUCUGAACCAGCCAAGUAGCGUGCAGGAUGACGGCCCUAUGGGUUGUAAACUGCUUUUGUUUGGGAAUAAUCGACAUUACGUGUAAUGUUUUGCAUGUACCAUUCGAAUAAGGACCGGCUAAUUCCGUGCCAGCAGCCACGGUAAUACGGAAGGUCCAGGCGUUAUCCGGAUUUAUUGGGUUUAAAGGGAGUGUAGGCGGUUGGUUAAGCGUGUUGUGAAAUGUAGAUGCUCAACAUCUGACUUGCAGCGCGAACUGGCUGACUUGAGUACACACAACGUAGGCGGAAUUCAUGGUGUAGCGGUGAAAUGCUUAGAUAUCAUGAAGAACUCCGAUUGCGAAGGCAGCUUACGGGAGUGUUACUGACGCUUAAGCUCGAAGGUGCGGGUAUCGAACAGGAUUAGAUACCCUGGUAGUCCGCACAGUAAACGAUGGAUGCCCGCUGUUAGCACCUGGUGUUAGCGGCUAAGCGAAAGCAUUAAGCAUCCCACCUGGGG
rnacentral:rRNA from 1 species